UGCCUUGGUGUUAUCCUCCUCUAGUCCUGC
rnacentral:piRNA from 1 species